UCCUACGGGGCGCAGCAGUGAGGAAUAUUGGUCAAUGGGCUUACGCCUGAACCAGCCAAGUCGCGUGAGGGGAGACUGCCCUAUGGGUUGUAAACCUCUUUUGUCAGGGAGCAACGCCGGCUACGUGUAGCCGGACUGAGAGUACCUGAAGAAAAAGCAUCGGCUAACUCCGUGCCAGCAGCCGCGGUAAUACGGAGGAUGCGAGCGUUAUCCGGAUUUAUUGGGUUUAAAGGGUGCGUAGGCGGAAUGCCAAGUCAGCGGUAAAAUCGCGGGGCUCAACCCCAUCCAGCCGUUGAAACUGGGGA
rnacentral:rRNA from 1 species